GCAAGUCGUGCGAGAAAGAUCUUCGGAUAUGAGUAGAGCGGCGGACGGGUGAGUAACGCGUAGGAAUCUACCUAGUAGAAGGGGAUAGCCCGGGGAAACCCGGAUUAAUACCGUAUACCUCCUUCGGGAGAAAGAAGGCCUCUCUUUGAAGCUUUCGCUAUUAGAUGAGCCUGCGUAAGAUUAGCUUGUUGGUGAGGUAAAGGCUCACCAAGGCGACGAUCUUUAGCUGGUCUGAGAGGACGAUCAGCCACAUUGGGACUGAGACACGGCCCAGACUCCUACGGGAGGCAGCAGUGGGGAAUAUUGGACAAUGGGCGCAAGCCUGAUCCAGCCAUACCGCGUGUGUGAAGAAGGCCUUCGGGUUGUAAAGCACUUUAAGCAGGGAGAAAAAGUUAUAAGUUAAUACCUUAUAACCCUGAUGUUACCUGCAGAAUAAGCACCGGCUAAUUCCGUGCCAGCAGCCGCGGUAAUACGGAAGGUGCAAGCGUUAAUCGGAAUUACUGGGCGUAAAGCGCGCGUAGGUGGUUUGUUAAGUUGGAUGUGAAAGCCCUGGGCUCAACCUAGGAACUGCAUCCAAAACUAACUCACUAGAGUACGAUAGAGGGAGGUAGAAUUCAUAGUGUAGCGGUGGAAUGCGUAGAUAUUAUGAAGAAUACCAGUGGCGAAGGCGGCCUCCUGGAUCUGUACUGACACUGAGGUGCGAAAGCGUGG
rnacentral:rRNA from 1 species